rnacentral:rRNA from 1 species
ACAGGAGGCAGCAGUGGGGGAUAUUGCACAAUGGGGGAAACCCUGAUGCAGCGACGCCGCGUGAGUGAAGAAGUAUUUCGGUAUGUAAAGCUCUAUCAGCAGGGAAGAUAAUGACGGUACCUGACUAAGAAGCCCCGGCUAACUACGUGCCAGCAGCCGCGGUAAUACGUAGGGGGCAAGCGUUAUCCGGAUUUACUGGGUGUAAAGGGAGCGUAGACGGCAUGGCAAGUCUGAUGUGAAAACCCGGGGCUCAACCCCGGGACUGCAUUGGAAACUGUCAGGCUAGAGUGCAGGAGAGGUAAGUGGAAUUCCUAGUGUAGCGGUGAAAUGCGUAGAUAUUAGGAGGAACACCAGUGGCGAAGGCGGCUUACUGGACUGUAACUGACGUUGAGGCUCGAAAGCGUGGGGAGCAAACAGGAUUAGAUACCCUGGUA